GAGCGGCGGACGGGUGAGUAACGCGUAGGAAUCUACCUGGUAGUGGGGGAUAGCCCGGGGAAACUCGGAUUAAUACCGCAUACGCCUUAAGGGGGAAAGCAGGGGAUCGCAAGACCUUGUGCUAUCAGAAGAGCCUGCGUUGGAUUAGCUAGUUGGUAGGGUAAAGGCCUACCAAGGCGACGAUCCAUAGCUGGUCUGAGAGGAUGGUCAGCCACACUGGGACUGAGACACGGCCCAGACUCCUACGGGAGGCAGCAGUGGGGAAUAUUGGACAAUGGGGGCAACCCUGAUCCAGCCAUGCCGCGUGUGUGAAGAAGGCCUUCGGGUUGUAAAGCACUUUAAGUGGGGAGGAAGGGGUCAACGUUAAUACCGUUGAUCAUUGACGCUACCCACAGAAUAAGCACCGGCUAACUCUGUGCCAGCAGCCGCGGUAAUACAGAGGGUGCAAGCGUUAAUCGGAAUUACUGGGCGUAAAGCGCGCGUAGGCGGUUAUUUAAGUCGGGUGUGAAAGCCCCGGGCUCAACCUGGGAAUUGCAUCCGAUACUGAGUGACUAGAGUAUGAGAGAGGGAGGUAGAAUUCCACGUGUAGCGGUGAAAUGCGUAGAUAUGUGGAGGAAUACCGGUGGCGAAGGCGGCCUCCUGGCUUAAUACUGACGCUGAGGUGCGAAAGCGUGGGGAUCAAACAGGAUUAGAUACCCUGGUAGUCCACGCCGUAAACGAUGUCAACUAGCCGUUGGGCACCUUAGUGUGCUUGGUGGCGCAGCUAACGCGAUAAGUUGACCGCCUGGGGAGUACGGUCGCAAGAUUAAAACUCAAAUGAAUUGACGGGGGCCCGCACAAGCGGUGGAGCAUGUGGUUUAAUUCGACGCAACGCGAAGAACCUUACCAGUCC
rnacentral:rRNA from 1 species